rnacentral:rRNA from 1 species
UGGAUUAGGCAUGCAAGUCGCACGAGAAAGGGUCUUCGGACCCAAGUACAGUGGCGAAAGGGUGAGUAAUGCAUGGAUAACCUACCCGAGAGACGGGGAUAAGCACUGGAAACGGUGUCUAAUACCCGAUGCCCUCGAGAUGUCGCAUGACGCUUGAGGAAAGGUGGCCUCUGUAUACAAGCUACCGCUUUCGGAGGGGUCCAUGUCCUAUCAGCUAGUUGGUGAGGUAACGGCUACCAAGGCUAUGACGGGUAGUCGGUCUGAGAGGACGACCGACCACACUGGGACUGAGACACUGCCCAGACUCCUACGGGAGGCUGCAGUCGAGAAUCUUCCGCAAUGGGCGCAAGCCUGACGGAGCGACGCCGCGUGUAGGAUGAAGGCCUUCGGGUUGUAAACUAC